GAUGAACGCUAGCUACAGGCUUAACACAUGCAAGUCGAGGGGAAACGACAUCGAAAGCUUGCUUUUGGUGGGCGUCGACCGGCGCACGGGUGAGUAACGCGUAUCCAACCUGCCCACCACUUGGGGAUAACCUUGCGAAAGUAAGACUAAUACCCAAUGAUAUCCCACGAAGGCAUCCGAAUGGGAUUAAAGGUUUAUCGGUGAUGGAUGGGGAUGCGUCUGAUUAGCUUGUUGGCGGGGUAACGGCCCACCAAGGCAACGAUCAGUAGGGGUUCUGAGAGGAAGGUCCCCCCACAUUGGAACUGAGACACGGUCCAAACUCCUACGGGAGGCAGCAGUGAGGAAUAUUGGUCAAUGGGCGAGAGCCUGAACCAGCCAAGUAGCGUGCAGGACGACGGCCCUAUGGGUUGUAAACUGCUUUUAUAAGGGAAUAAAGUGGGUCUCGUGAGACUUUUUGCAUGUACCUUAUGAAUAAGGACCGGCUAAUUCCGUG
rnacentral:rRNA from 1 species